UUUAUAAAGCUAGUAUAAGUACUGAUCGGCGAAACUUUAAAUCAUCUAAAUUUUAUUCAGUGUUUAAUUGAACAAAAAAAUUUUAAUUUAAAAAUGGGAGUACCAGGAUUAUAUAGUUUUCUCAUUGAAAAGAAUAAAAAUUUAUCGAAAUACUCUAAACUUGAUCAUUCGAAAAUAAUUAUUGAUGGUACCAGUAUUUCGUAUCAUUUACUACACCAUUCCAUAAAGGAUGCAAGAAUUGAUCCUGAAAAUCAGUAUCAAAUUUAUUUUGAUUAUGUGAUGAAUUUUUUCCAAAAGUUUAUUGAUCAUAAAGUUGAUAUUUUUGUGUUUGUCAAUGGUGCAUGGAAAGAACAAAAUCUAGAUUCACAAAUAAAAGUUAUAACUGAAACAAUUAAGAAUUCACCAAUUGAUGUGAGACCAAUUGACUAUCUUUACUAUAAAACAUUUAAACAUGAUAUUUUUGUGGAAGUGUUGAAGGGAUUGAAUAUUAAAUUCACAGUAUGUCCGUUUCACGCUGCAGACGUUAUAGCAACUACAGCUAAAAUAUUAAAUUAUCCUGUUUUAACAGCUAAUGCUGACCUAUUUUUAUUUGGCACUGACUGUAUUUUUUUCCGUAAUCUUCUAUUCAAAAAUAAUGGUCAACCAAACAUGUCAUUUCUAUGCAAGAUUUCGCGUCCACAUGAAUUUAUAAAAAUGUAUUCUGGAUUAGAUAUUUUCUGCUUACCACUUUUGUCAGUUUUACUAAAUGAUGAUUACUUUCCAGAUGAUAAUUUACAUGAAAUUUUUUUGCCUUAUUCAUUACCAAAUUUUGAUAAAUUUAAUUCUCUUCCUCAUUAUAAAAUAGAAGAAGCAUUCAAAUGGUUAAGCAAUCACACUUUGGAUUCAGCAGUUGAAAUAAUUUUGGAUAAAAUAAAGACUAAAUCAUUAACACAUAUUGAAAGUAUUAUAAACAGUUACACAGGGAUGUCUACAUACAUGUUCAAUUACUGUACCAAUUUACAAUCUUUUACAAUUAAUCAGAUUGGCUUAUUCAUGAGGUUAUAAAAGGAAACAUCAAUCCUUCUAUAAUUGAUUUAUUUCAACAUGAAGCUUACACUGUUUGGCCUCAUACGGAAAAUUUGAAUCAACCAUCAAUUUAUGAAAUGAUUAUUCAUACGAA
rnacentral:misc_RNA from 1 species